CAGUAGCCGCGGGAAUACGAAGGGGGCUAGCGUUGUUCGGAUUUACUGGGCGUAAAGGGCGCGUAGGCGGACUGAUAAGUCAGGGGUGAAAUCCCAAGGCUCAACCUUGGAACUGCCUUUGAUACUGUUUGUCUUGAGUUCGAGAGAGGUAAGUGGAACUGCGAGUGUAGAGGUGAAAUUCGUAGAUAUUCGCAAGAACACCAGUGGCGAAGGCGGCUUACUGGCUCGAAACUGACGCUGAGGCGCGAAAGCGUGGGGAGCGAACAGGAUUAGAUACCCGUGUAGUCCCUGUCUCUUAUAC
rnacentral:rRNA from 1 species